UGUUUGUAAAAUACUUUAGUCUGUCAAACUGUUAAUAGAUUGCGCUGUGUCACUUUAGUGAGAUACCUGUGAAUCAAAGCUGGAUCCUUGAUGGUUUCCCGAUGACGUUAAACCAAGCACAGCUUCUAGAGGAAGCUCUCACCGGCUGCAAUAGGAAUCUCAUGGAAAUGGAGGCAAAGAAAACACAAAUAUCCACACUGGCGGUGGACCCUACAGCUACAAAAGAAGUACCUCUCCCCCCUUCUGCUUUUGAUUUUGUCAUAUUGCUAAAUAUUUCAGACACUUUCUUGCUGAAUCGCAUGAAUGAUGUCAUAGGUGAAGAAUUUUCACAUGAAGUGGCUCAUAAAGAUAUCGAUCAACAUGGAACUGCUGAAAACCAAGAUAAGCAUGGGUACCAGAAUUUAAGAGAUCACAUACAUAAUAGAAUUAUAGGCUUCUUGGAUAACUGGCCUUUGUUGGAACAGUGGUUUUCAGAACCAGAAAAUAUUUUGAUAAAAGUCAAUGCUGAAAUAGAUAAAGAGCCUUUAUGCGAAAAGGUAAAAGAAAUUUUUACAAAUGAAAUAAUGAAGAAAAAGAAUAAAG
rnacentral:lncRNA from 1 species